CUGAGAGAUACCUCUCUCCUUUGACUCUCAUCCUCGCGACAGCCGAGCCGCUCUUGCUUUCCUUCAGCACCCCUUCGACCAUAUUCUCCUUCUCCCAUACGUCCCCAAAACGCCAGCGAGUCAGAACAGUCCCGCUGUCUUUGCAUAUUUAAUUUAUUUCAGGUUUAGUUGCACAUUUAGUCUGCUUACGGGCUAUGUCGCAACCGGAGGAUAUUUGAAAAAGGCAUUGGGGGAUGGCAGCUAAGAGAAAUGGAGAUAGGGAGACUUAGCGGAACAUGACAAAAAUGUGAGUGACUGAUGGAUCAGUGGUUUGGACCUACAAUUCAGCAAGGGCGAUAUUGUAGUUUCGUCUGCUUUUGGAGGGCAUCGGGGGAUUUGAAAAUUGCCCGUACAAAGCUCGGAGAAGUGCCUCGUAACCGGAUCCGAGAAAAGAAAGCCCGGGAGAAAAGGACGACUGGUUUAGAGGAGUGACAGCUGGCAACAGUAGGGCACAGUGGACACGCCAGCACAAGUGCAGACAUUUGCCAGCUCCCGGACACCGGCACGCAGGAAAUGACUAAUUCAUCCACAGCUCCCUGUCUUUCAUUCACCCUGCCUCCGUCUCACUGUACAGGCUUGGUGGAGUGGACGUGCCAUGUGUAACACACAGUCCUGUAUGCCGCCAGAGUCCACAGUAAACAACCUCGGCCCUGCUGUGGAGCUGGAGCGGGGUAACAGGAUUCAGUGUUCUCCUAAUUGUUGAUGAAGUGCACUCAGUAUAUUAAGGCCAUGCAAGGCGAGCGUCUCGCUCCUCUUAAGCCCCGACAUUACAGUGUACUGUGAAUUUGAAUCCCUGCUCUCCAGGUCCUUUAGAGCAUUGACCCCAUUAAUUCAAUUUACACAAGGAACAUAUGCUCAGAUCACUUUAGCAUGCUACAGGCCAUGCUGUACAUCUGGUAGUAACUUCGGGUCCUUUAAGUUGCACAGAAAAGCUUUUUUUUAGGUUAGACCUUAGAUAUACAAUAUUAGCAGAGGCACUCCAGUUAGUCCUGGAGUGGUGAGACUUUUGAAGAAUUCACAUUAACUUUUCAUUACGGGGAAGAAUUAAAAAAUAAACUGUGUUGGUUGUUUUUAAUUGAUGUGACAAUUCUUCAAACCUCUGUGGUUGGUUCUACAGUGGAACUUUCCAAAGAUAUUGUAGCUGAUAAAAAUGGGUGGGGUUUUGUUUUUUUGUGCAUUACAAUGACCAA
rnacentral:lncRNA from 1 species